rnacentral:lncRNA from 1 species
UGUCAACCUUGGCUUCAAGACAUGACUAUAUAAAGCUCAAAGCAAUCUGAUCUAACCUUGCAGAUGUUGCUUUCAGCAGACAGACAAGAGAGCUCCUGAGAUCCUUUCCAAAGAGAAUUGCUCCUCUGAGUAGUCUCUCUAGAAUCAAGAUGGACAGCAUUUGAAGAUCAAAUUUCAUGGAGAACUUAACAAAUAGUUCUACAAGAUGGAAAAGGAUGCUAGCACAAUGAAUUCAACCUUACAUUCUCCAUGAAGCAAUCAGGAAGAGUUUCCUUCAUAUUCCCCAAAAUUUAUGGCUGUAUCCUCCAUUGCUUCAACGGUCUUCUCAUAGAGUCUCAUAGAGGUCAAACAAUUUUAGCAAAGUCUCUGAGCAUAUUGAUUAACUUGAAAGCAAAACUCAAGACACAACUGACCUGGGCCAGAACAACUACCUAGCAGAUCAGUGAACACUCAGUAUCUCACACCGAAAUCAUCAGCCUUCUGCAGUACAAAAUCAUUUUGUGAACAAAUCACAGAGUGUAAAUAUUUAACAAAUAUUCCAAAUGAAUAAAGCAUCCAUGGCAAAUAUUGGUUCUCUUUCA